CCUACGGGGCGCAGCAGUGGGGAAUAUUGGACAAUGGGCGAAAGCCUGAUCCAGCCAUGCCGCGUGUGUGAAGAAGGCCUUCGGGUUGUAAAGCACUUUCAGUGGGGAAGAAAGCCUUGGGGCUAAUACCCUCGAGGAAGGACAUCACCCACAGAAGAAGCACCGGCUAACUCCGUGCCAGCAGCCGCGGUAAUACGGAGGGUGCGAGCGUUAAUCGGAAUUACUGGGCGUAAAGCGCGCGUAGGCGGUCUGAUAAGCCGGUUGUGAAAGCCCCGGGCUCAACCUGGGAACGGCAUCCGGAACUGUCAGGCUAGAGUGCAGGAGAGGAAGGUAGAAUUCCCGGUGCAGCGGUGAAAUGCGUAGAGAUCGGGAGGAAUACCAGUGGCGAAGGCGGCCUUCUGGACUGACACUGACGCUGAGGUGCGAAAGCGUGGGUAGCAAACAGGAUUAGAUACCCGAGUAGUC
rnacentral:rRNA from 1 species